CAGUGGGGAAUUUUGGACAAUGGGCGCAAGCCUGAUCCAGCCAUGCCGCGUGCGGGAAGAAGGCCUUCGGGUUGUAAACCGCUUUUGUCAGGGAAGAAACGGUCCGAUCUAAUACAUUGGGCUAAUGACGGUACCUGAAGAAUAAGCACCGGCUAACUACGUGCCAGCAGCCGCGGUAAUACGUAGGGUGCAAGCGUUAAUCGGAAUUACUGGGCGUAAAGCGUGCGCAGGCGGCUUUGCAAGACAGAUGUGAAAUCCCCGGGCUCAACCUGGGAACUGCAUUUGUGACUGCAAGGCUAGAGUACGGUAGAGGGGGAUGGAAUUCCGCGUGUAGCAGUGAAAUGCGUAGAUAUGCGGAGGAACACCGAUGGCGAAGGCAAUCCCCUGGACCUGUACUGACGCUCAUGCACGAAAGCGUGGGGAGCAAACAGGAUAGA
rnacentral:rRNA from 1 species